GACGAACGCUGGCGGCGUGCCUAAUACAUGCAAGUUGAGCGCUGAAGGUUUGUACUUGUACCAACUGGAUGAGCAGCGAACGGGUGAGUAACGCGUGGGGAAUCUGCUUUUGAGCGGGGGACAACAUUUGGAAACGAAUGCUACUACCGCAUAAAACCUUUUAACACUAGUUUUAAGUUUUAAAGAUGCAUUUGCAUCACUCAUAGAUGAUCCCGCGUUGUAUUAGCUAGUUGGUGAGGUAAAGGCUCACCAAGGCGAUGAUACAUAGCCGACCUGAGAGGGUGAACGGCCACAAUGGGAAUGAGAAAAGGCCCAAAAUCCUAAGGGAGGGAGCAGGAGGGAAACAUCGGAAAAGGACGAAAGGCUGACCGAAGAAAGCCGGGGGAGGGAAGAAGGUUUUCGGAUCGUAAAACUCUGUUGGUAGAGAAGAAAGAUGGGGAGAGUGGAAAGCUCAUCAAGUGACGGUAACUAACCAGAAAGGGACGGCUAACUACGUG
rnacentral:rRNA from 1 species